AUGGUAUUAGGUAUGCAUUCUCUGUCAUCUUAACUCAGAUUCUACCAAUUGCUCCUUUUGUAGCUCAAAUGGAGAUUCUUCACUCAAAAAGUAAGACAGUGAACUCCUGCAAAGCCAAAAGAAACAAGGGAAGGCCCCUUUGGAAAGGCAACAGCAAAUCACAAACAUCCAUAAUUAUACAUCAGGGACUAAUAAAUGGAGAUUGUGCCCUGUGGUUGUUGGUGUGACAGAUGCAGGCUGGGUGCUCUUUCUGGACUGAGUUUCUGCCUGUCACAAUGCCCCACACCCUGGAGAGAGAGCUUACAGAGAACUCGAGCCAUUCACCACAGGGUUGAAGCAACUUCCAAGGGGAAGUGUCUAAUUAGAGGCACUGAAUUCUCUUCAUUACAUGUUCAGUUCUGAAGCUGCUGACUUUUAGUGAAGUAUGUGGAUGCCAAAUGACUUCUAAAAGUCUUUGGGAGAUACUAUCAGAUGAAUUAAUAAUUUUCACUCAUAAUGUUACAUGGGAAGUCCGUGAAUUCAGAUAUUCUUUCAGGAGAAUCACCACCUGCUUCAUGAGUAAUUGAAUUUAAAUCUCCACCUUCAAUAACUCCACAGCUUAUGUCAAACCUUGGAAACAAUUAUGAAAUAAAUCACAAGGAAGGCCUGCUUAAUCUCAUCAGGUUAAUAAACGCAGACGAAUUAAUCACCUAAA